CGAUGCUGCUGUUAUCGAUGCAGGAGGUGUCAAUUUAGCAAGUCUAGUGAAGACCCGCUAAAUCAAUGGCAGAGCACUCUGCGGUCGACCCCGUUAAUUUACUCUUCUUGGGGAGCUGGAGUAAGUCCACUAGAGAGCGUCUCCUGUCGAUGCAGCACAGUGAAGACAUCGGGUGGCUGAAAAGGCUCAGCUGCCGCCUGUUCAUUCACCAGAAAAGACCUGCUGUUCCUUUGACAGGUGCACUUUCUGAAUUAGAUGCCCAGACCCAGCCAGGAUACUAAUGGAGUGAUGACACUAACACUACAACAAUAGAGAGGACCUCCAGGAAACUACUCACCGAGGGGCUAAGGUGCAGUGUCCAUCACAGCAGUACAAGAAUGUCUCCAGGGUAUAGGAGUGCCAAAGAGCAUUUAAGAUACAAACUUUCAGGAUCUAAGACCCAAACCUCACACUGUGAUGAAGCCAUCUAUUUCAGUUAAGAUUUUCUCCAGAAGCUAUCUGCAAGAUGAACAAUAAGCCUAUGAAAACAAAGGUACUGACACUUUUCAAAUAGGCUACAAAAGAGAUUUUUUGCAUCUUUUAAAUGGACUAGUGUGAUCUAACUGUCCACAGGAACUGGCAGCCUGAUAGAAGUAGUGUAGUGCUUAUGCAGAGUCUGAGAGUAGGCACGACCCAGAAAGUGUCUCUGAUUAAUGGGGUGAAUACUAGAGCUAACAAUUAACUUUUCAUUCAGUCUCCCCUGGAAGGUUGGCUAGUUCUCUGUAUCCUUAAAAAUGAAAUAUUUAUCACAAACAAUAGCAGAAAUAUUUUUCAGGAUGAGGAGAGAUGGAAAUGUCAUGCACAUUUCUUGUCAGCUUGCAGUAAUCAUAAACUAUGAUCAGGGGAGAGGGGGCAUUUUAAUGAGACCUCUUCAUUUCUUUUUUUGGUGACAAUAAUUAAUACUUCUGUUGCUUAAAAAUACUCCUUCACCAACUCUUACUCAGUACUGGUUGGAAACUGGUAACUAUAAGGGUUGGAAUUAAUUUGAAUUAUGCCUGGGAUGAAUUUGGCCCACGAUGUUGCAAAAGACAAAAUUCUGGCUUUUAUAAUUUGUGAAAGCUGCAGCCUUUCUCUGUGCCUUGCAAGUAGACUGGCAUAUGUAUGAUUCUAGAGAACAUUACCGCAGAAUCAGGCAGACACUGGAAUGGUUCAGGAUGGAUACGGUAACAGCUUGUGGCAGGAU